rnacentral:rRNA from 1 species
UACAGAGGUGGCGAGCGUUGUUCGGAUUUACUGGGCGUAAAGGGCGCGUAGGUGGUUUUGUGUGUCGGAUGUGAAAUCCCAUCGCUCAACGAUGGAACUGCAUUCGAAACUGCAAGGCUUGAGUUCGGGAGAGGAGAGCGGAAUACUUGGUGUAGCGGUGAAAUGCGCUGAUAUUAAGUAGAACACCGGUGGCGAAGGCGGCUCUCUGGAACGAUACUGACACUGAGGCGCGAAAGUUGGGGGAGCAAACAGG